UAGGGGGUGGGCCCAUUUCACCGGGCCCGUCCCCAGAUAACGCGUUAAGCGUGCCGCCUGGGGAGUACGGCCGCAAGGGUAAAACUCAAAGAAUUGACGGGGGCCCGCACAAGCAGAGGAGCAUGUGGCUUAAUUCGAUGCAACGCGAAGAACUUACCUGGGCUUGACAUGGAGCUGCACGUCCCAUGAAAGUGGGACUCCUUCGAGGGUGCUCACAGGUGCUGCAUGGCUGUCGUCAGUUCGUGCCGUGAGGUGUUUGGUUAAGUCCACCAAGAACGCAACCCCUUUGGGAUGUUGCCAGCGGGUAAUGCCGGGAACUCGUCCCAGACUGCUGUUCACGCAAGAGGAAGGUGGGGAUGACGUCAAGUCAGUAUGGCCCUUACGCCCAGGGCUCACACGUGCUACAAUGGCCGGUACAGAGGGAAGCGAGACCGCAAGGUGGAGCCAACCCCAAGAGCCGGCCCCAGUUCAGAUCGGGGUCUGCAACCCGACCCCGUGAAGUCGGAUUUGCUAUAACGGCGCAUCAGCUACGGCGCCGUGAAUGCGUUCCCGGGCCUUGUACACACCGCCCGU
rnacentral:rRNA from 1 species